GUGGGAGGGGGCUUGCUCCCGAUGGCGUUGAGUCAGCCAGCAAAUAGGUAACUGACUGAACGCUAUCGGGAGCAAGCCCCCUCCCAC
rnacentral:misc_RNA from 1 species